rnacentral:RNase_P_RNA from 1 species
GGGGCGGGACAGAUGGCUGCCGGGGCGCAAGCCCCGGAGGAAAGUCCGGCCACCACAAGGCAGGAAUGCGGGUAACGCCCGCCGGGGGCAACCCCAGGGGCAGGCAACAGAGAACAGACCGCCAACCGGGCGAAAGCCCGGGGCAAGGGUGAAACGGUGGGGUAAGAGCCCACCGCGUCGACGGCAACGCCGACGGCACGGCGACUGUCCUUCCGGUGCAAGCGCAAAUAGGGGACAAGCGGGAAGUUUUUCCGCGCGGGGCCGCCUGUCCCGCCAUAAGUCCCGGGUAGCGUGCUUGAGGCGGGCGGCGACGCCCGUCCCAGAUAAAUAGCCAUCCCCGACAGAAGCCGGCUUACCGUUCCGCCCCGCGU